AAAGUAAUACAAUAAUUAAAUUUCUAAUUUAAAUUACAAAUGUUUAACCCAUUUUUACUUUU
rnacentral:tRNA from 1 species